GACGAACGCUGGCGGCGUGCCUAAUACAUGCAAGUAGAACGCACAGUUUAUACCGUAGCUUGCUACACCAUAGACUGUGAGUUGCGAACGGGUGAGUAACGCGUAGGUAACCUGCCUGGGAGCGGGUGAUAACUAUUGGAAACGAUAGCUAAUACCGCAUAAUAUUGAUUAUUGCAUGAUAAUUGAUUGAAAGAUGCUAUUGCAUCACUACCAGAUGGACCUGCGUUGUAUUAGCUAGUAGGUGAGGUAACGGCUCACCUAGGCGACGAUACAUAGCCGACCUGAGAGGGUGGUCGGCCACACUGGGACUGAGACACGGCCCAGACUCCUACGGGAGGGAGCAGUAGGGGAACUUCGGCAAUGGAGGAAAGUCUGACCGAGCAACGCCGCGGGAGUGAAGAAGGGUUUCGGAUCGUUAAGCUCCGUUGUAAGGGAAGAAAGGGUGUGAGAGUGAAAAGUUCACACUGUGACGGUAUCUUACCAGAAAGGGACGGCUAACUACGUG
rnacentral:rRNA from 1 species